GGGGGAUUAGCUCAGCUGGCUAGAGCGCUUGCCUUGCACGCAAAGGUCAUCGGUUCGACUCCGAUAUUCUCCAC
rnacentral:tRNA from 1 species